rnacentral:lncRNA from 10 species
UACAUAUUUGCUGAAUGUAUAAAUGGAUGACUAAUUUUAUGGGUAAAAGUUGGUUGUUUCAAUGAAAAAUGAUCCAGAAGAAGAGGAGUUUACUUCAAACAGAACCUGGCAAUCGGAUAAAUACCUUCAAGUGUCUGUCUCCGUAAAAAUGUUCCAGAAGAAGAGGAGGUUACUUCAAACAGAACCUGGCAGUUGGAUUAAUACCUUGAAGUGUCUGUCUCCAUAACCACAUUUUAGCAAGAUUCCCAGCCUUCCUCAGGUAUUGCUGGAUGCUGUGCCAAAACAACAGUUGCUCCAUUGGAUCGAGUAAAGGUUUUAUUACAAGCUCACAAUCACCAUUACAAGCAUUUAGGAGUAUUUUCUGCAUUGCGUGCUGUUCCUCAAAAAGAAGGAUUCCUUGGAUUGUAUAAAGGAAAUGGUGCAAUGAUG